rnacentral:rRNA from 1 species
UACGUAGGGUGCAAGCGUUGUCCGGAAUUAUUGGGCGUAAAGAGCUCGUAGGCGGUUCGUCGCGUCGGCUGUGAAAUCCCGAGGCUCAACCUCGGGUCUGCAGUCGAUACGGGCGGACUGGAGUUCGGCAGGGGAGACUGGAAUUCCUGGUGUAGCGGGUGAAAUGCGCAGAUAUCAGGAGGAACACCGGUGGCGAAGGCGGGUCUCUGGGCCGAUGACUGACGUGAGGAGCGAAAGCGUGGGGAGCGAA